AGCGGCGGACGGGUGAGCAACGCGUGGGUAACCUGCCUCAUACAGGGGGAUAACAGUUGGAAACGGCUGCUAAUACCGCAUAAGCGCACAGUACCGCAUGGUACGGUGUGAAAAACUCCGGUGGUAUGAGAUGGACCCGCGUCUGAUUAGGUAGUUGGUGGGGUAACGGCCUACCAAGCCGACGAUCAGUAGCCGACCUGAGAGGGUGACCGGCCACAUUGGGACUGAGACACGGCCCAA
rnacentral:rRNA from 1 species